rnacentral:rRNA from 1 species
UAUAAAUGUAAAUUUAUUCAAAGUAGUAUUAGUUAUGAUCUUGAAAUUUAAAAAUUUUGGCGGUAUUUUAGUCUAUUCAGAGGAACCUGUUCUAUAAUUGAUAGUCCACGAAAAAUUAAACUUUAUUUAUAUAAGCUUAUAUAUCGUCGUUAUUAAAUAUUUUAUUAGAAUUAUAAUAUUUAAGAUUUUUAAUUAAAAAAUAUAUCAGAUCAAGGUGUAGUUUAUAGUAAAGUAGAAAUGGGUUACAAUAAAUUUAUUUUUAUGAAUUUGUAUAUGAAAAUAUAUAAUGAAGGUGGAUUUGAUAGUAAUAAAAUUUAUAUUAAAUUUAUGAUUAAAGCUCUAAAAUGUGU